GCACCCAUAGCUCAAUUGGAUAGAGCGUCUGGCUACGGACCAGAAGGUUAGGGGUUCAAGUCCCUUUGGGUGUACCA
rnacentral:tRNA from 3 species